rnacentral:rRNA from 1 species
UUGGAACUGAGACACGGUCCAAACUCCUACGGGAGGCAGCAGUGAGGAAUAUUGGGCAAUGGAGGCAACUCUGACCCAGCCAUGCCGCGUGAGUGAAGAAGGUUUUCGGAUUGUAAAGCUCUUUCGGGUGUGACGAUGAUGACGGUAGCACCUAAAGAAGCCCCGGCUAACUUCGUGCCAGCAGCCGCGGUAAUACGAAGGGGGCAAGCGUUGUUCGGAAUUACUGGGCGUAAAGGGAGUGUAGGCGGUUAUGUAAGAUAGUGGUGAAAUCCCAGAGCUUAACUUUGGAAUUGCCAUUAUGACUAUGUGGCUAGAAUUACAGAGAGGAUAGUGGAAUACCCAGUGUAGAGGUGAAAUUCGUAGAUAUUGGGUAGAACACCAGUGGCGAAGGCGACUAUCUGGCUGUAUAUUGACGCUGAGGCUCGAAAGCAUGGGGAUCAAACAGGAUUAGAUACCCUGGUAGUCCAUGCUGUAAACGAUGAGUGCUUGUUGUCGGUGUAAAAUCGGUGACGAAGUUAACGCGUUAAGCACUCCGCCUGGGGAGUACGGUCGCAAGAUUAAAACUCAAAGGAAUUGACGGGGACCCGCACAAGCGGUGGAUGAUGUGGAUUAAUUCGAUGCAACGCGAAAAACCUUACCUAGCCUUGACAUGCCAGGAAUCCUGAAGAGAUUCGGGAGUGCCCGCAAGGGAAUCUGGACACAGGUGCUGCAUGGCUGUCGUCAGCUCGUGUCGUGAGAUGUUGGGUUAAGUCCCGCAACGAGCGCAACCC